rnacentral:rRNA from 1 species
GACGAACGCUUUCGGCGUGCUUAACACAUGCAAGUCGAACGGAAAGGCCCUGCUUUUGUGGGGUGCUCGAGUGGCGAACGGGUGAGUAACACGUGAGUAACCUGCCCUUGACUUUGGGAUAACUUCAGGAAACUGGGGCUAAUACCGGAUAGGAGCUCCUGCUGCAUGGUGGGGGUUGGAAAGUUUCGGCGGUUGGGGAUGGACUCGCGGCUUAUCAGCUUGUUGGUGGGGUAGUGGCUUACCAAGGCUUUGACGGGUAGCCGGCCUGAGAGGGUGAUCGGCCACAUUGGGACUGAGAUACGGCCCAGACUCCUACGGGAGGCAGCAGUGGGGAAUAUUGCACAAUGGGCGGAAGCCUGAUGCAGCAACGCCGCGUGCGGGAUGACGGCCUUCGGGUUGUAAACCGCUUUCGCCUGUGACGAAGCGUGAGUGACGGUAAUGGGUAAAGAAGCACCGGCUAACUACGUGCCAGCAGCCGCGGUGAUACGUAGGGUGCGAGCGUUGUCCGGAUUUAUUGGGCGUAAAGGGCUCGUAGGUGGUUGAUCGCGUCGGAAGUGUAAUCUUGGGGCUUAACCCUGAGCGUGCUUUCGAUACGGGUUGACUUGAGGAAGGUAGGGGAGAAUGGAAUUCCUGGUGGAGCGGUGGAAUGCGCAGAUAUCAGGAGGAACACCAGUGGCGAAGGCGGUUCUCUGGGCCUUUCCUGACGCUGAGGAGCGAAAGCGUGGGGAGCGAACAGGCUUAGAUACCCUGGUAGUCCACGCUGUAAACGGUGGGUACUAGGUGUGGGGUCCAUUCCACGGGUUCCGUGCCGUAGCUAACGCUUUAAGUACCCCGCCUGGGGAGUACGGCCGCAAGGCUAAAACUCAAAGGAAUUGACGGGGCCCCGCACAAGCGGCGGAGCAUGCGGAUUAAUUCGAUGCAACGCGUAGAACCUUACCUGGGUUUGACAUGGAUCGGGAGUGCUCAGAGAUGGGUGUGCCUCUUUUGGGGUCGGUUCACAGGUGGUGCAUGGCUGUCGUCAGCUCGUGUCGUGAGAUGUUGGGUUAAGUCCCGCAACGAGCGCAACCCUUGUUCACUGUUGCCAGCACGUUAUGGUGGGGACUCAGUGGAGACCGCCGGGGUCAACUCGGAGGAAGGUGGGGAUGACGUCAAGUCAUCAUGCCCCUUAUGUCCAGGGCUUCACGCAUGCUACAAUGGCUGGUACAGAGAGUGGCGAGCCUGUGAGGGUGAGCGAAUCUCGGAAAGCCGGUCUCAGUUCGGAUUGGGGUCUGCAACUCGACCUCAUGAAGUCGGAGUCGCUAGUAAUCGCAGAUCAGCAACGCUGCGGUGAAUACGUUCCCGGG